AGCAGAUAUAGGCCGCCGAGAGCCGCCGCAAACACUCGUCCGAGCUGCGCGCUGCAGCUUGCUGCGGGCGCCGGCCUUGGCUUUGCGAGCCCCUUAGCACCAGCUUGCUGUGGGGCGAAGGACGCUGCCGGGCAGCUCAGCGAACGCCUCUGCCUUGCUGGGGAGCGGCCAUCGUGGGAGAGGGGCACGGCGGGCAAGGCAGGGGUGACGCCGGCAGCCCCGGCCCUCCCCGGCUCCUGCUCCCGAGUCGCUUCCCGCUUUGGGACCCUCCGCGCCGGCCCGGGGCUCGCGCUGCCUCCACAGCCACCGGUCCUCAGCUAAAAAUAAGUGGCCACUGCAGAUACCCACCGCAGAUACUAUUGCACAGUAUGUAACGCAGCAGGAGGUGCUCUUACGUAUGACACUGUGCUCUUCUUUACUUUUUGGAAAGACUCAUGAUGCAGACUUUAUAAAGGAAGCUUUGCACAGAGAAACACAGGCCCUGUUAUCCAAACUGCAUCAGAUAAAGAAGCUGUUAUCCAGUCCUGAGGUCCACAAGAAAAUUAGCAGAGAACUAUUUGAAGACAGGCACAACUAUACCAGUAAAGGGGAAAGUUGCAUUGACUCUGGAUSUCCAAAUGCAUGAUUGUAAAUUGCCAUGGGGUAAAAUGUCAGCAGUUGUUUAAAGACAAGAAAGAGAUUUUCUUUCCUUUGUUUCUUAUUUGCGGAAAAUGUAACGGGUGUGAAUGGCUUCUGAGAAAUACCUGCACAUAAGRAGUAUGUUUCAUAAUGAUGAUCUAAAGCCACUGCUCAGCACAGCUUUGAAAUGUGCUGAAAUGUGCAGGUGUGUGUCAUGUCCCAAAGUGGAAAACAGUGGUUUCGAAUAAAUUUGCUCAAACACUGUGCCCUUCCUCUAUGAUUGCAAAUAAUUUUUGAGAUUUGUCUCACAGGUUAUUUCUGUAGCAAUGACACACAAAUAUUUAAAUAAUGAAUACUUUUAAAUACUUUGAAAUGUAUAUUUGAGAAAAAAGCUCUUUUAAUUAUCUGCCUUUUGUAUAUGUACUGGCAUUUUGGGUUAGCACUGUCUUAUUUUUUAUUUUUGUUUUUAAACAGCACUUGAAUACUUGUAUAGAUGCUGAUAUGAAGGUUUUGUUUACAUUAAAUCAAGAAUGUUUAAAUCUUCAAAUGAAAUUCUGGCUCUGCUGAUCUCAAUGGCAAAACUCUUACUGGUUUUAAUGGAGUCGGGAUGCUCUCCUCAAGACUUCUCUUGAAAGUAAUAUUCCUGAGRAUGAUGUUUGCCUUUUCAUUUUUGUAUUUAGAAGAGCGGUGGGUUUUCUCUUUUGUUUUUGAUGUUUCCUUUCUCUCCACCUUCUGCUGCCUGAGGUGGGUCUCAGCCUUCAUAGGCUGGUGCCCCCAUGCCAGAGGAGUCCGUGAUGCUUUGGACGCACAACCCAGCAGGACAACAGCAGCUGCUGGGCAGCGCAGUCCAGCACUUGCAGUGUCCACAUUGGUUUAGAACCUGCCAGGCUGUAAAAAGCUGUAUCUUGUAUGUCGUGAUUGGUAUCAGACUAGUGCUCUUAGAAAAGCUUUGUGCGAUUUCUUCAUUGGUCUCAAGAGCUGGUCAUUUAUCUCAUGCUUCAUGCUUACAGUUUUUUCUCA